GACGAACGCUGGCGGCGUGCCUAAUACAUGCAAGUUGAGCGCUGAAGGUUGGUACUUGUACCAAUUGGAUGAGCAGCGAACGGGUGAGUAACGCGUGGGGAAUCUGCCUUUGAGCGGGGGACAACAUUUGGAAACGAAUGCUAAUACCGCAUAAAAACUUUAAACACAUGUUUUAAGUUUGAAAGAUGCAAUUGCAUCACUCAAAGAUGAUCCCGCGUUGUAUUAGCUAGUUGGUGAGGUAAAGGCUCACCAAGGCGAUGAUACAUAGCCGACCUGAGAAGGGGAUCGGCCACAUUGGGACUGAGACACGGCCCAAAAUCCUACGGGAGGCAGCAGUAGGGAAUCUUCGGCAAUGGACGAAAGUCUGACCGAGCAACGCCGCGUGAGUGAAGAAGGUUUUCGGAUCGUAAAACUCUGUUGGUAGAGAAGAACGUUGGUGAGAGUGGAAAGCUCAUCAAGUGACGGUAACUACCCAGAAAGGGACGGCUAACUACGUG
rnacentral:rRNA from 1 species